GACGAACGCUGGCGGCGUGCUUAACACAUGCAAGUCGAACGAAGAGCGAUGGAAGCUUGCUUCUAUCAAUCUUAGUGGCGCACGGGUGAGUAACGCGUAAUCAACCUGCCCUUCAGAGGGGGACAACAGUUGGAAACGACUGCUAAUACCGCAUACGAUCUAACCUCGGCAUCGAGGAUGGAUGAAAGGUGGCCUCUAUUUAUAAGCUAUCACUGAAGGAGGGGAUUGCGUCUGAUUAGCUAGUUGGAGGGGUAACGGCCCACCAAGGCGAGGAUCAGUAGCCGGUCUGAGAGGAUGAACGGCCACAUUGGGACUGAGACACGGCCCAGACUCCUACGGGAGGCAGCAGUGGGGAAUCUUCCGCAAUGGACGAAAGUCUGACGGAGCAACGCCGCGUGAGUGAGGACGGCCUUCGGGUUGUAAAGCUCUGUUAAUCGGGACGAAAGGCCUUCUUGCGAAUAGUUAGAAGGAUUGACGGUACCGGAAGAGAAAGCCACGGCUAACUACGUG
rnacentral:rRNA from 1 species